UACAGAGGGUGCAAGCGUUGUUCGGAAUUAUUGGGCGUAAAGCGCGUGUAGGCGGCUUUGCAAGUCGGGUGUGAAAUCCCCCAGCUCAACUGGGGAAGUGCGCUCGAAACUGCAGAGCUCGAGUACCGGAGAGGAGAGUGGAAUUCCCAGUGUAGAGGUGAAAUUCGUGGAUAUUGGGAAGAACACCGGUGGCGAAGGCGGCUCUCUGGACCGACACUGACGCUGAGGCGCGAAAGCGUGGGGAGCAAACAGG
rnacentral:rRNA from 1 species